AUUGAACGCUGGCGGCAUGCUUUACACAUGCAAGUCGAACGGUAACAGGGUGCUUGCACCGCUGACGAGUGGCGAACGGGUGAGUAAUGCGUCGGAACGUGCCGAGUAGUGGGGGAUAACGCAUCGAAAGGUGUGCUAAUACCGCAUACGUACUGAGGUAGAAAGUGGGGGACCUUAGGGCCUCACGCUAUUCGAGCGGCCGACGUCUGAUUAGCUAGUUGGUGAGGUAAAGGCUCACCAAGGCGACGAUCAGUAGCGGGUCUGAGAGGAUGAUCCGCCACACUGGGACUGAGACACGGCCCAGACUCCUACGGGAGGCAGCAGUGGGGAAUUUUGGACAAUGGGCGCAAGCCUGAUCCAGCCAUGCCGCGUGUCUGAAGAAGGCCUUCGGGUUGUAAAGGACUUUUGUCGGGGAGGAAAUCCCCAGCGUUAAUACCGCUGGGGGAUGACAGUACCUGAAGAAUAAGCACCGGCUAACUACGUGCCAGCAGCCGCCGUAAAAC
rnacentral:rRNA from 1 species